rnacentral:rRNA from 1 species
UAGUGGCGAACGGGUGAGUAACACGUGGGCAAUCUGCCCUUCACUCUGGGACAAGCCCUGGAAACGGGGUCUAAUACCGGAUACUGACCCUCGCAGGCAUCUGCGAGGUUCGAAAGCUCCGGCGGUGAAGGAUGAGCCCGCGGCCUAUCAGCUUGUUGGUGAGGUAAUGGCUCACCAAGGCGACGACGGGUAGCCGGCCUGAGAGGGCGACCGGCCACACUGGGACUGAGACACGGCCCAGACUCCUACGGGAGGCAGCAGUGGGGAAUAUUGCACAAUGGGCGAAAGCCUGAUGCAGCGACGCCGCGUGAGGGAUGACGGCCUUCGGGUUGUAAACCUCUUUCAGCAGGGAAGAAGCGAAAGUGACGGUACCUGCAGAAGAAGCGCCGGCUAACUACGUGCCAGCAGCCGCGGUAAUACGUAGGGCGCAAGCGUUGUCCGGAAUUAUUGGGCGUAAAGAGCUCGUAGGCGGCUUGUCACGUCGGUUGUGAAAGCCCGGGGCUUAACCCCGGGUCUGCAGUCGAUACGGGCAGGCUAGAGUUCGGUAGGGGAGAUCGGAAUUCCUGGUGUAGCGGUGAAAUGCGCAGAUAUCAGGAGGAACACCGGUGGCGAAGGCGGAUCUCUGGGCCGAUACUGACGCUGAGGAGCGAAAGCGUGGGGAGCGAACAGGAUUAGAUACCCUGGUAGUCCACGCCGUAAACGGUGGGCACUAGGUGUGGGCAACAUUCCACGUUGUCCGUGCC